GUAGUAUUGCUACCCUCCAGGUAAACCAGUCUAAACAGUAGUGCUGCUACCCUCCAGGUAAACCAGUCUACCCUCCAGGUAAACCGAAACAGGAGGGUGGUAUAGACAAUGUAUUUAUUUAAUGUGAUCAGCGGUAGAUCUGUGUAAUAGCAGAAUUUAAAGGUCAUAUCUGAUUGAGCUGACCUAUGCAGCGGUUACCGUGACUACGGUCUCCGUGAACACAGGAACAUUGCCUUUUAAAAGGGUCAUAGCUGACGAAGCAGGAUCAGAUUGAAUCCCAGCCUUACUCUCUGUUAGUCAGCGCCUCUACAAACUGUUUUGGGGUUUCAGCUGUUUUUUACUAGUGAUCAACCAAUCAACCUGUCAAUCAAUAACCAAUCAAUCAGUCUGACCUGAUGUUCUUUACUGUACUACUACCCAUCAGGACCGGGACCAGGACCAGGACCCAGACGGGAGGACAAGAGGGAGAAGGAGAGAGAGAGACCCAGGGAGAGACCACAUGAGAGGGAGAGAGAGCGAGAGCACAGCCCCUCCACUAUGGCUUACAACAGUGACGAGGAGCGGUACCGUGGUUACCGGGAGUACCAAGCGGAGCGUGGCUACAGCGGCGGUGACCGUGGAGGGGGGGAGCGUGGCGGUGACCGUGGGAGUGGUGGUGAGCGUGGUGGUGGAGGCGGCGAGCGCCACAGAGACAGGUCGAGCCGUGAGAAGGAGGAGAGACACAGAGAGAGAAGACACAGAGAGAAGGAGGAGGGGAGACACAAGUCAUCACGCAGUAGCAGCAGGAGGAGACAUGAUAGUGAAGAAGGAGACGGUCACAGGAGACACAAACACAAGAAGAGCAAGAGGAGCAAUGGGAGGGCAAGGAACCCAGUGAUGACAUGGGAGGAGACCAGGAGAACCAGGACCACCAUGGAGUGAUGAAGAGAACACCCUCCUCUCCCUCUGUCCCUCUUCAUCUCUCUCUCUCUGUCUACAUGGGAGGAGACCAGGAGAACCAGGACACCAUGGAGUGAUGAAGAGAACACCCUCCUCUCCCUCUGUCCCCCUC
ensembl:lncRNA